rnacentral:misc_RNA from 1 species
AAAGUCGUAACAAGGUCUCCGUUGGUGAACCAGCGGAGGGAUCAUUACCGAGUUUACAACUCCCAAACCCCUAUGUGAACGUUACCAAAAUGUUGCCUCGGCGGGGAAUUUAUUCAUUGCCCCGGGCGCGUCGCAGCCCCGGACCAAGGCGCCCGCCGGAGGACCAACCAAAACUCUUUUGUAUGUCCCCUCGCGGACUUUUAUAAUUCUGAACCAUCUCGGCGCCCCUUGCGGGCGUUUCGAAAAUGAAUCAAAACUUUCAACAACGGAUCUCUUGGUUCUG